UACGGAGGGAGCUAGCGUUGUUCGGAAUUACUGGGCGUAAAGCGCACGUAGGCGGCUUUGUAAGUUAGAGGUGAAAGCCCGGGGCUCAACUCCGGAACUGCCUUUAAGACUGCAUCGCUUGAAUCCAGGAGAGGUGAGUGGAAUUCCGAGUGUAGAGGUGAAAUUCGUAGAUAUUCGGAAGAACACCAGAGGCGAAGGCGCCUUCCUGGACAAGUAUUGACGCUGAGGCGCGAAAGCGUGGGGAUCAAACAGG
rnacentral:rRNA from 1 species